AACGAACGCUGGCGGCAGGCUUAACACAUGCAAGUCGAACGCCCCGCAAGGGGAGUGGCAGACGGGUGAGUAACGCGUGGGAAUCUACCCAUCCCUACGGAAUAACUCAGGGAAACUUGAGCUAAUACCGUAUACGUCCUUCGGGAGAAAGAUUUAUCGGGGAUGGAUGAGCCCGCGUUGGAUUAGCUAGUUGGUGGGGUAAAGGCCUACCAAGGCGACGAUCCAUAGCUGGCCUGAGAGGAUGAUCAGCCACACUGGGACUGAGACACGGCCCAGACUCCUACGGGAGGCAGCAGUGGGGAAUAUUGGACAAUGGGCGCAAGCCUGAUCCAGCCAUGCCGCGUGAGUGAUGAAGGCCUUAGGGUUGUAAAGCUCUUUCGCCGGCGAAGAUAAUGACGGUAACCGGAGAAGAAGCCCCGGCUAACUUCGUGCCAGCCGCCGCGGUAACAC
rnacentral:rRNA from 1 species